CCUACGGGGGGCAGCAGGGAGGAAGAUUGGACAAUGGACGAGAGUCGGAACGAGCAAAGUAGCGUGAAGGAUGAAUGCCCUAUGGGUUGUAAACUUCUUUUAUAAAGGAAUAAAACGAGGCACGUGUGCCUUUUUGCAUGUACCUUAUGAAUAAGGAUCGGCUAACUCCGUGCCAGCAGCCGCGGUAAUACGGAGGAUCCGAGCGUUAUCCGGAUUUAUUGGGUUUAAAGGGAGCGUAGAUGGGUUGUUAAGUCAGUUGUGAAAGUUUGCGGCUCAACCGUAAAAUUGCAAUUGAUACUGGCAGUCUUGAGUGCAGUUGAGGUAGGCGGAAUUCGUGGUGUAGCGGUGAAAUGCUUAGAUAUCACGAAGAACCCCGAUUGCGAAGGCAGCUUACUAAACUGUGACUGACGUUGAUGCUCGAAAGUGUGGGUAUCAAACAGGAUUAGAUACCCGGGUAGUC
rnacentral:rRNA from 1 species